AACAGAUAACAGAUGUAACAGAUAAAACUGCAGUUGCCUUUCUUGCAUGUUUGCGUGUUUAUGGUGCGCAUUGUAAAAAGCAUUACUAUAAUGGAGAGUUGUACCAAAGCUGAAAAAAUGAGAGGCAACAAAUACAUCAACAGCAUUUAAAAUCAUUAUCUAUGUAUGAGAUUAAACGAAGUGUAACUGUGGUUAUAGGAAGCGAUAUGACGUUAUCAUGAUCAAUUAUGGCGACUAUAGCCUACAACACUUGGAAUCACAUCAGACUCCCUGUUCACAACAAAAGAACCAAGCCACUUGGACAGUUCUACCUGUAAAGAACAAACACCGAAUACGCUACAAUGUCCAAAAAAGAAGAAACUGCUGUCCUUGAAUGUGCCCGUCAGCUGCGAAAGAUGGGCGAUCUUCUUGACUGGAAGUACAAGCUUUUGGAUAUUCUAUUAAGGAAUUACAACCAGGCUGCCAAAUUCAAGUGAGACUGAAUGGUUUCGAUGGAAGUGUUACUGGUACAUGCAACGACAUGUUCUUUCGCCGGCCCGUUCAAAGAUCGACAGUCGGGCGGUGGGCGGAAGCCACCGGUUAUACGUGAAACUACUGCAAUGAAGGCAUGCCAAACCUAAUUUUCGAAACAUUUUCGAAAAUACAUGGCUCUUCGCGGAAACUUCACGUCCCCGCUGUCACUAAGCAGGCUUUUCGCCUGAGACCCAGCCAGCUUUCGAGGCCUUGAAGCAGAAUUCUGAGAGAUCGGUGGACCUAUGGUGUGGACUGCUCCCUUUCCACGACAAACGUGGACUUUUAAGACUUAUAAUCGGCCAAUUAUGGCCGUAAGCUUACCACAUUUUCACAUCCAAAGUAUGUGCUUUUCUGUGUUGUUAAUUUCUGUAAAUAAACACUGAUAUUCUAA